rnacentral:rRNA from 1 species
GUCGAGAAUCUUUCACAAUGGGGGCAACCCUGAUGGAGCGACGCCGCGUGGAGGAUAAGGUCUUCGGAUUGUAAACUCCUGUCAUGCGUGAACAAGGUUGCUUGGUUAAUACCUGGGCAAAUUGAUGGUAACGCAAGAGGAAGAGACGGCUAACUCUGUGCCAGCAGCCGCGGUAAUACAGAGGUCUCAAGCGUUGUUCGGAAUCACUGGGCGUAAAGGGUGCGUAGGUGGCGUGGUAAGUCAGAUGGGAAAGCCCGAGGCUCAACCUCGGAACUGCAUCCGAUACUGCCAUGCUAGAGUACUGGAGAGGUGACUAGAAUUCUCGGUGUAGCAGUGAAAUGCGUAGAUAUCGAGAGGAAUACCAAAGGCGUAGGCAGGUCACUGGACAGUUACUGACACUGAGGCACGAAGGCCAGGGGAGCGAACGGGAUUAGAAACCCGUGUAGUCC